GAUGAAAUGGGAAUUUGGCCUACAACUGCACCUGAAGAGGAAAAGAAUGUUAAGUUGACAAAACUUGAAAGGGCUGACACUGUCCUGCUGGUGCUCUGAAUCUGUAAAUGAUAAGGACAAGGUCAAAAACAACAAAGCACCAUGAUGAAAAGAAUAGUUUUGAAAUGAUUGGAAAUACAGGUGUGUACCCAACUCUGAAGAUUUAUUUUUAAUUCAAGACUUGAAAUUUCCAGCCACAUCUGCCCAUGGACCAUUCCAGACAUUUUGGGAUCCCUAACUCCACUUACACUACUGGAAUGGGACCUUCCAGCACUAACAAGCAAUAAAGGUUGAGACAACAAAGGAUCUUAUGGGCUGGGACCUCUUAUGACAAACACCACUGGGAGCUGGCAUGUCCAGACUGAUGGAACCCUAGUCUGUUUGACUGACCUGCACAGUGCACCCUGGUAAGUGUACCCUCUGGAUGAUGGUGGAUGAUGAAGGAACAGAAGGCUAGCUGAGGACAGGCAGAA